UCUUGGUCAUUUAGAGGAAGUAAAAGUCGUAACAAGGUCUCCGUUGGUGAACCAGCGGAGGGAUCAUUACAGAGUUGAAAAACUCCCAAACCCUUGUGAACAUACCUGUACGUCGUUGCUUCGGCGGGUAGCCCAUUUCAGGGCCCAGCCUCCUUGUGAGGUGCCCGCCGGAGGACCAAACACAAACUCUUGUAAUAAUUGGCCUCUCUGAGUAUUAUACAAAUAAGUUAAAACUUUCAACAACGGAUCUCUUGGUUCUGGCAUCGAUGAAGAACGCAGCGAAAUGCGAUAAGUAAUGUGAAUUGCAGAAUUCAGUGAAUCAUCGAAUCUUUGAACGCACAUUGCGCCCGCCAGUAUUCUGGCGGGCAUGCCUGUUCGAGCGUCAUUUCAACCCUCAAGCCCAGCUUGGUGUUGGGGCAUUGCGGCCUGCCGCAAGCCCUGAAAAUCAUUGGCGGGCUCGCUAUAACUCCGAGCGUAGUAAUACAUCUCGCUAAGGAAGAGUGGCGGGCGCUUGCCGUAAAACCCCCUAUU
rnacentral:rRNA from 1 species